GCAACACCGGCUUCCGACACAUCGGAAGGGAGGGGCCCAAGCGAUAUCUCACCGUACAAAUCUUUCUGCCAUUUUUCGCGGGGGGAAAGGUGCACACAGUCGCACUUCUCACACACUUACAUACAAAAUCCAAUCUGUAAUGACGACACAAAUACAUAGAAAAUGACACACGUCAAAGACAAAUCUUGCAAACCUCGAUCUCUUUUUGUGUACGGACGAGUGACAAGUGUCACAACACGCACACUAACACAUUUUCGUUGAAGUAUGUUAUUGUAUUCUGAGAGAUGAGAAGUCGGAUUUGUCGCUCGACCGAUCCGCAAUUUGUACUGAGCGAGCAAAAUCGAUAAAUCCAACAAUUACAUGAGACUAAAAUAUAAUAAUUGUGUUUGAAUGUAAUUAAACGUAUGAUAUGUAAAAAAAAAUAUUACAUGUGAAAUGUAACACUUUCUUUUUGUAAAUUUGAUGUCCCCGACCUCUUUUUAUAACAAAAAACCGAGCAAACAGGCAUUUUUGUGCAGCAGUGUUCACGCGCGCGUCUGGACUCGGUCUAGUGAAAAAUCCAAGUGCAACUAGUUUUAUUAUCCGCGCUAGAUUAGAUUGACGCGCUAAUCUUGUACCUCGGCAGAGGGGAAAUAGUGCGAAUGCCGCCUCCCUUCCGUGUUGCUCGAAGCUAUAAAUACUAUACUGUUGAAACUUGGUAAGUAGAUGUAUUCUGUGAACCGCAUUAAGAUUUUCACACAUAAAUAGAAAAAAAAAACAAUAAAUUUUGAGGGUUCCCCAUACUUACAACUGAAACUAAAAAUAGACACUUCCAAAGUGGUAAAAUGUGUCCCCCCCCCCCCCUGUAACUUCUAAAAUAAGAGAAUGAUAAAACUAAAAAAUAUAUAUAUGAUGUACAUUAUCAUGCAAACUUCCACCGAAAAUUGGUUUGAACGAGAUCUAGUAAGUAGUUUUUUUUAAUACGUCAUAAA